rnacentral:rRNA from 1 species
AAUGAACGCUGGCGGCGUGCCUAACACAUGCAAGUCGGAUGUGCCGCAAGGUGCAUGGCAGACGGGUGAGUAACGCGUAGGGAAUCUACCUCUUUGUGGGGACUAACGCUCCGAAAGGAGUGGUAAUACCGCAUGAGACCGAUGUCUGGGAUGACAUCGGUGAAACCUGGGGACCGGUAACGGCCUGGGGCAAGGAGAGGAUCCUGCGUCUGAUUAGCUAGUUGGCGGGGUAAUGGCCCACCAAGGCGACGAUCAGUAGCCGGCCUGAGAGGGUGAUCGGCCACACUGGAACUGAGACACGGGUCCAGACUCCUACGGGAGGCAGCAGUGGGGAAUUUUUGCGCAAUGGGCGAAAGCCUGACGCAGCAACGCCGCGUGGGUGAUGAAGGUCUUCGGACUGUAAAACCCUGUCGUCAGGGACGAAGGGUGCGCAUGUUAAUAGCAUGUGUACUUGACGGUACCUGGAGA